rnacentral:rRNA from 1 species
GGGUUGUGAGGUUAAGCGACUAAGCGUACACGGUGGAUGCCCUGGCAGUCAGAGGCGAUGAAGGACGUGCUAAUCUGCGAUAAGCGUCGGUAAGGUGAUAUGAACCGUUAUAACCGGCGAUUUCCGAAUGGGGAAACCCAGUGUGAUUCGUCACACUAUCAUUAACUGAAUCCAUAGGUUAAUGAGGCGAACCGGGGGAACUGAAACAUCUAAGUACCCCGAGGAAAAGAAAUCAACCGAGAUUCCCCCAGUAGCGGCGAGCGAACGGGGAGCAGCCCAGAGCCUGAAUCAGUGUGUGUGUUAGUGGAAGCGUCUGGAAAGGCGCGCGAUACAGGGUGACAGCCCCGUACACAAAAAUGCACAUGCUGUGAGCUCGAUGAGUAGGGCGGGACACGUGGUAUCCUGUCUGAAUAUGGGGGGACCAUCCUCCAAGGCUAAAUACUCCUGACUGACCGAUAGUGAACCAGUACCGUGAGGGAAAGGCGAAAAGAACCCCGGCGAGGGGAGUGAAAAAGAACCUGAAACCGUGUACGUACAAGCAGUGGGAGCACGCUUAGGCGUGUGACUGCGUACCUUUUGUAUAAUGGGUCAGCGACUUAUAUUCUGUAGCAAGGUUAACCGAAUAGGGGAGCCGAAGGGAAACCGAGUCUUAACUGGGCGUUAAGUUGCAGGGUAUAGACCCGAAACCCGGUGAUCUAGCCAUGGGCAGGUUGAAGGUUGGGUAACACUAACUGGAGGACCGAACCGACUAAUGUUGAAAAAUUAGCGGAUGACUUGUGGCUGGGGGUGAAAGGCCAAUCAAACCGGGAGAUAGCUGGUUCUCCCCGAAAGCUAUUUAGGUAGCGCCUCGUGAAUUCAUCUCCGGGGGUAGAGCACUGUUUCGGCAAGGGGGUCAUCCCGACUUACCAACCCGAUGCAAACUGCGAAUACCGGAGAAUGUUAUCACGGGAGACACACGGCGGGUGCUAACGUCCGUCGUGAAGAGGGAAACAACCCAGACCGCCAGCUAAGGUCCCAAAGUCAUGGUUAAGUGGGAAACGAUGUGGGAAGGCCCAGACAGCCAGGAUGUUGGCUUAGAAGCAGCCAUCAUUUAAAGAAAGCGUAAUAGCUCACUGGUCGAGUCGGCCUGCGCGGAAGAUGUAACGGGGCUAAACCAUGCACCGAAGCUGCGGCAGCGACGCUUAUGCGUUGUUGGGUAGGGGAGCGUUCUGUAAGCCUGCGAAGGUGUGCUGUGAGGCAUGCUGGAGGUAUCAGAAGUGCGAAUGCUGACAUAAGUAACGAUAAAGCGGGUGAAAAGCCCGCUCGCCGGAAGACCAAGGGUUCCUGUCCAACGUUAAUCGGGGCAGGGUGAGUCGACCCCUAAGGCGAGGCCGAAAGGCGUAGUCGAUGGGAAACAGGUUAAUAUUCCUGUACUUGGUGUUACUGCGAAGGGGGGACGGAGAAGGCUAUGUUGGCCGGGCGACGGUUGUCCCGGUUUAAGCGUGUAGGCUGGUUUUCCAGGCAAAUCCGGAAAAUCAAGGCUGAGGCGUGAUGACGAGGCACUACGGUGCUGAAGCAACAAAUGCCCUGCUUCCAGGAAAAGCCUCUAAGCAUCAGGUAACAUCAAAUCGUACCCCAAACCGACACAGGUGGUCAGGUAGAGAAUACCAAGGCGCUUGAGAGAACUCGGGUGAAGGAACUAGGCAAAAUGGUGCCGUAACUUCGGGAGAAGGCACGCUGAUAUGUAGGUGAAGCGACUUGCUCGUGGAGCUGAAAUCAGUCGAAGAUACGAGCUGGCUGCAACUGUUUAUUAAAAACACAGCACUGUGCAAACACGAAAGUGGACGUAUACGGUGUGACGCCUGCCCGGUGCCGGAAGGUUAAUUGAUGGGGUCAGCGCAAGCGAAGCUCUUGAUCGAAGCCCCGGUAAACGGCGGCCGUAACUAUAACGGUCCUAAGGUAGCGAAAUUCCUUGUCGGGUAAGUUCCGACCUGCACGAAUGGCGUAAUGAUGGCCAGGCUGUCUCCACCCGAGACUCAGUGAAAUUGAACUCGCUGUGAAGAUGCAGUGUACCCGCGGCAAGACGGAAAGACCCCGUGAACCUUUACUAUAGCUUGACACUGAACAUUGAGCCUUGAUGUGUAGGAUAGGUGGGAGGCUUUGAAGUGUGGACGCCAGUCUGCAUGGAGCCGACCUUGAAAUACCACCCUUUAAUGUUUGAUGUUCUAACGUUGACCCGUAAUCCGGGUUGCGGACAGUGUCUGGUGGGUAGUUUGACUGGGGCGGUCUCCUCCUAAAGAGUAACGGAGGAGCACGAAGGUUGGCUAAUCCUGGUCGGACAUCAGGAGGUUAGUGCAAUGGCAUAAGCCAGCUUGACUGCGAGCGUGACGGCGCGAGCAGGUGCGAAAGCAGGUCAUAGUGAUCCGGUGGUUCUGAAUGGAAGGGCCAUCGCUCAACGGAUAAAAGGUACUCCGGGGAUAACAGGCUGAUACCGCCCAAGAGUUCAUAUCGACGGCGGUGUUUGGCACCUCGAUGUCGGCUCAUCACAUCCUGGGGCUGAAGUAGGUCCCAAGGGUAUGGCUGUUCGCCAUUUAAAGUGGUACGCGAGCUGGGUUUAGAACGUCGUGAGACAGUUCGGUCCCUAUCUGCCGUGGGCGCUGGAGAACUGAGGGGGGCUGCUCCUAGUACGAGAGGACCGGAGUGGACGCAUCACUGGUGUUCGGGUUGUCAUGCCAAUGGCACUGCCCGGUAGCUAAAUGCGGAAGAGAUAAGUGCUGAAAGCAUCUAAGCACGAAACUUGCCCCGAGAUGAGUUCUCCCUGACUCCUUGAGAGUCCUGAAGGAACGUUGAAGACGACGACGUUGAUAGGCCGGGUGUGUAAGCGCAGCGAUGCGUUGAGCUAACCGGUACUAAUGAACCGUGAGGCUUAACCUUACAACGCCGAAGCUGUU